rnacentral:rRNA from 1 species
GAAGCUCAUUACAACAGCCGUCGUUUCUUGGAUCUCCGAAUUUACUUGGAUAACUGUGGUAAUUCUAGAGCUAAUACAUGCAAUCGAGCCCUGAACGUAAGUGAUGGGCGCAUUUAUUAGUAACAAAACCAAUCGGUAGCUUGCUACCGUGGUUUGGUGAAUCUGAAUAACUGAGCAGAUCGCUUCGGUCUUUGUACCGGCGACGUAUCUUUCAAGUGUCUGUUUUAUCAACUUUCGAUGUUAGUUUAUGUGACUAACAUGGUUGUCACGGAUAACGGAGAAUAAGGGUUCGACUCCGGAGAGGGAGCCUGAGAAACGGCUACCACUUCUAAGGAAGGCAGCAGGCGCGCAACUUACCCAAUCUCAGUACGAGGAGGUAGUGACGAAAAAUAACGAGACGAGGCUCUUUGAGCUUCGUCAUCGGAAUGAGAACAAUCUAAAUCCUUUAACGAGGACCUAGCGGAGGGCAAGUCUGGUGCCAGCAGCCGCGGUAAUUCCAGCUCCGCCAGUGUAUAUCUAUGCUGCUGCGGUUAAAAAGCUCGUAGUUGGAUCUUCAUGCUUCGACCCGGUCCGACAGUGUUGUUGUGUACUGGAGUCGAGCAUAUGAUGGCUGGUUUUCACUUGAUGCACUUUAUUGUGUGUCCUGUGUGGCUAGCAAGUUUACUUUGAAAAAAUUAGAGUGCUCAACACAAGCGAUUUGCUUGAAUACUGGUGCAUGGAAUAAUAGAAUAAGAUCUUGGUUUUAUUUUGUUGGUUUUCGAAACACGAGAUAAUGAUUAAGAGGGAUCAGA